CUGCUCACUUCGGCAGCACAUACACUAACAUUGGAACGAUACAGAGAAGGUUAGCAUGGCUCUUGCACAAGGAUGACACGCAGAUUCAUGGAGCAUUACAAUUGAUU